AAUGAAGAACGUAGUGAAAUGCGAUAAGUAAUGCGAAUUGCAGAAUCCGUGAGUCAUCGAAUCUUUGAACGCACAUUGCGCCCUUUGGUAUUCCGAAGGGCAUGCCUGUUCGAGCGUCAUUAUCACCACUCAAGCCCGGCUUGCUGUUGGUGGCAGCGCAGCCGGUCAACCGGCUACGCUCCACCCAAAGAUAAUGACGGCGUCUGCGAGGACUCCUGUACAUUGAGCUUUCGGGCACGUACAUGGCUAGAAGUCCAGGCGCCGGUCGACGUCCUCCGGGACACUUUUUACCAAGGUUGACCUCGGAUCAGGUAGGGAUACCCGCUGAACUUAAGCAUAUCAAUAAGCGGAGGA
rnacentral:misc_RNA from 1 species